ensembl:lncRNA
CACUCACUGAUAGAAAAGGGAAAUCCCUGAGGAAUUGCCAACAAUAAAUAAUAUAUUUUAAAAUAGACCAUUCUGAGUGUAUAGGAAAAUUUCCUGAGCCUGUUCAGUUUGAGGAAGUCAGUAGCCCUUUGCAAACUUGAAUUUUUCAAAAGGAUUUCCAACUGAUGCAAAUUUCUUGUCAUUAUGAGAAGCUGCCACUUUCAGCAGCACUUCAUAUUAAAAGAAGGAAAAGAAUCAAAUCUUCUUUUAAUCAAUUUAUCCAUAAUCCUGGGAAAGCUAUUGCACCAAGCAGGAAAGGAAAAUAUUUGCUUUUUAUAGUCACAUUGAGCACAACAUACCAAAUAAGUAGCAGUGCUAUUUUACCUUGUUAUUCGUUAAAAUUUAUAAUUUUCUCAGUGUGCAAAUGUUGUAUGAAAGGUAACAACUUCCCUCCUGUUUCUGAGUAACAAAGCAAGAUGCAAAUAUUUGCAAAAGAGUUAAGAUUGACUCUUUAAAGAUUACAGGGUCCAGCAAACAAAAGAUUCUCAGUGAAGAUCCAGGACUGAAAAUUGCCUUUGGAACUCUUAAAUUCUCUUGAGGGGUACUCAAAAUACUAUAUUUCAUUGAUUCUAGAAUCCUUUUAUCACUUUACCAUCUCAAAUUCAAGUAGGCUUGGCCAUGAAUGUUACUCGUCACAAGUUAACUGACAACUUCCCUACCCAACCUUCUUAGUGGUACACAACAUAAUGGCAUAUUUUACAAUCUAUGGUUUCUUACAUUAGAUUAAAUAUGCUGCUCUAUAGUUCAGUAUACAGUGAUUCAUAUAAAAAUAAAUCUAAUAUUUAAACCCUGGUAAUUUUCUCAAUUCAAAAAAUGCUGGCAAAAUUAUUUAUUUUAAAUUUUAGCAUAGGCAUCACAGCCUUGUGAGUUAGAAGAAUGGUAAUACAAAAUGAGCUUGUGCUCUAGAUCCAGUUCUAUCUCUAAUUAUCUGGCACAACUGUAGGAAAAUUGAUUUCACACUUCUGGGCCUCAUUUCUUCACCUAUAAAAUGAGAAAGUGCAAUCAAAUGGCUUCCAAGCCUUCCAGCCUAAAAGGAAGGUAAUUUUAAUCUCGCAUCAUGUAGAGAGUGUGUCAAUGUGGAAAUUCCAUCACCACGCUGCCCAAAGCCAAAGGAGAUUCUUCUACAGCUGAUGCAUCGACUCCUCUCCAGCCACACUGUCCCCUCCCCCAAGAGCCAACAUUUGAAUACACAGAGGCCAUAUUUCCCAAGCAGGAAACACAAUUCCUUCACAACCUUAAUAAAUGACUGGGAAAGAAUAAUCCUUUGAUCUGGAGCAUUUUGUAAACAUCAUCAAAAAAACUGCAGAACUCUACUAGCUUAAGUUGAACUAAAUGUCUACUAUAAAUUUAAAAUAUCAAGAAAUUAGAGCAGGGGUUCACUUCAGCCUUCUUGAUUGACAAAAUUUGGCUACAGAUUCUGCUGCUCUGGGUGCCUCGAUCCAUCCCAUAGAAGCACUAGGUGGAGAUAGCUUUCUUUUCUGAAAAAAAAAAAAAAAAAAAGAAGAAAUUUUAUUUGAAUAACCUAUUCAUGGCAUCACCUGC